GUCAGGAGUCUUAUCAAACAUGUGAAGUUUGGGGCAGAUUGGACAUUGUAUGUCUGAGUUAUAACAACUUAAUUUUUCAUGGCGAAACAUCGAAAUUCGUCAGGCCGCCACGGACACGCCCUUCAACGAAAACUCAAGAUCUUCGCAAUUUAACAUCGCAAAGGCCUUUAGAUUAGGCAUACCAAAUUUGGUGUUGAUCUGAAUAAAUCUCUAGGAGGAGUUCGUUAAAAUACAAGGCAUGCAAAUGACAAAAAUGAUGCAAAAUUUGCUCAUAAAAUUAAAAAUAACCGACUUCCUGUUGGGUUUCGGAUAUUGCUCCAAGAGUCUUUUUUGUAGGUACUGAUGCUUUACAUAUGUGUGCCAAUUUUCGUGCAUGUACGUGAAACACAGCUCGAGGGCUGUUGAUUUUUUUACGAUAGGUGGCGCUGUCGAGCCAUUUUGCCACACCCUCUUCUGAAACCUAUAUCAGACGUAAAUUUUCACCAGGUCUGACGUGUGUGCAAAGUUUCAUGACUUUUCGAGCAUGUUUAGGCCCUCAAAAAUGCGAUUCAUUUUGGAGAAGAAGAAGAAUAAUAAUAAAUAUAGCUGCAAGCAGCGAUGGCGGGCUCAAGCCAUCAGCGCAAACGCCACCCCGGUGGCAUCAGGUAAACUGUGCCCAGCGGGCACAUGCAUUUACAGUAACCCUCUGGCACUCAGGUUUUAAGGGAUACGGCAAUUAACAGGUUAAUCCGAAGCAUCAAGACUUUGAAAUCACAUUUACAGAAUAAUAUUCAUUAAGAAAGUGAAAUUAAAUGAUUAAUA
ensembl:lncRNA